GAUCCAUCGAGUGCGUCAUAACUCAUAGCAAGGUAUAUCAAGGAUGGAAAAAGCUCAUCUACAAGCACUUACAUGGCACAAUCAUUACACAAUGGAUUAGAUAUCGUUCUUUUAUAUAUUACAUCAUAGGAUUUCUUAUCCGUCAGUACGUGUAAUAAGCUUAUACUACCUCCGUCCGGAUUUAUUGGUCCCCAUUGUAUUUUGUGUUAAAUUUUAACCAUAGAUUAAACUAACAAAAUGUUUACGCAUGUCACCAAGCAUUAUUUGUUUUUAAACUAUGUUCAAAUACGAAUCCAAUGAGAUAAUUUUUUUGACAUGCAUUAACAUUUUGUUAGUUAAAUCUUUAGUCAAAAUUCGGCACAAACUACAAAAGGGACCUAUAAACCAGGACGGAGGUAGUACCUUAUAGCUAGCUGCCACAAUAUUGUGUAUUGUCACAGCUGUACUCCAUCACUGUGUCUACCAUCCUUUUUAUUUCCAAUAUACAAUCACAUCUAUUUAUAAAUUAGCUUUAUAGCUUUA